UACGGAGGAUGCAAGCGGUAUCCAGAUUCAUUGGGUUUAAAGGGUGCGUAGGCGGAAUAAUAAGUCAGUGGUGAAAGCCCGCGGCUGAACCGUAGAAUUGCCGUUGAUACUGUUAUUCUUGAGUAUAGUUGAAGAGGGCGGAAUGUGUAAUGUAGCGGUGAAAUGCUUAGAUAUUACACAGAACACCAAUUGCGAAGGCAGCUCGCUAAACUGUUACUGACGCUGAGGCGCGAAAGCGUGGGGAGCAAACAGG
rnacentral:rRNA from 1 species